AGGAUGAACGCUGGCGGCGUGCUUAACACAUGCAAGUCGAACGAUGAAGGAGGAGCUUGCUCCUCCAGAUUAGUGGCGAACGGGUGAGUAAUACAUGAGCAAUGUGCCCUUGACUCUGGGAUAAGCGCUGGAAACGGCGUCUAAUACCGGAUACGACCCUCGGAGGCAUCUCCUGAGGGUGGAAAGAACUUCGGUCAAGGAUCAGCUCAUGUCCUAUCAGUUAGUUGGUGAGGUAAUGGCUCACCAAGACGACGACGGGU
rnacentral:rRNA from 1 species